rnacentral:snRNA from 1 species
GUGCUAAUUUUGGCAGCACAUAUACUAAAAUUAGAAUGAUAUAGAGAAAAUUAGCAUGGCCCCGGCAUAAGGAUAACAUGCAAAUUUGUGAUGUAUUUCAUAUUUUA